GUGUCUUGCUCACUCAGACAGCAAGGAGAAAGUAUAACACAUUAGCAAACACAGUAGCAUAUUAGAUCAUAAAGUGCUGUGCAAAAAAUGAAAAUGCAGGAGUUCCUGUCGUGGCUCAGCGCAAACGAAUCUGACUAGUAUCCAUGAGGACGCAGGUUCGAUCCGUGGCCUGGCUCAUUGGGUUAAGGAUCUGGCAUUGCCCUUAGCUGUGGAAUAGGCUACAGAUGUGGCUCGGAUGUGGCAUUGCUUUGGCUCUGGUGUAGGCCAGCAGCUACAGUUCUGAUUCAACCCCUAGCCUGGGAACCCAAAUAUGCCAAGGAUGUGGUGCUAAAGACAAAAAAAAAAAAAAAAAUGAAAAUGCAGAGCACAGUAAGAGGGGCUAGGAGAGUGGAAGGAGGUGUGAGAGAGGAGGGGUUAAAAUUUAAUGGGCGUGGUCAGACCAGGCAUUGCAGAGAAGUCAACCUUUGAAUAAGAACUUGCAAGAAGUGAGGGUGUUAUCCACACAGAUCAGCAGUGGAGGGACAUUGCAGGGGCAGAGAAUAGUGUAAAAGUACAAGAGCAGAAGUACGGCCACUGCUAUGGACUGAAUGGCGACCUCCAAACCCAUAUGUUAAUGCCCUAACUCCCAACGUGACUGUAUCUGGAUAGGGCCUUUGAGGAAGUAAUUAAAGUCAAAUAAGUUCAUAAAGGUGGACCUUGAUCCCAUAUAACUGAUAUGCUUAUAAGAAGAGGAAGAAUGUACAGCACAGGAAACUAUAUCCAAUCUCUCUUGGGAUAGACCAUGAUGGAAGAUAAUCCCAAGCAGACUAAUACAUCUGGUAUUGGAAAACUGGGAAGAAAGCCAGUGUAACCUGGGGCAAGUUGAGUGAUGAGGAUUGUGGUGGAUGAUGAGUGAUUUUUAUACAGCUGCUCUAUGCCAGUCACAUGGGUGCCAAGAACAUAAAGAUGGAGAAAAGAACCACGACACCAAGGGACAGAGAAGAGAAAAAAAUGUAAGUUGCAUUUAUCAAGCUUCUUGUUCUCACCCCUUCCCCAAGCCCACCUGCAUUCUUGACUUUGGGAGGCACUGUAGUACUUGAUUCUUCCCAUAAGGUGACUUCUGGAUUCUGUUUGAAAGCCAAAGCCACCUGCUCUCUUCCCUCCAUCUGGAACAUACAUUUCCCAACUUUUUGCACUGCUGGCUCUUUCUUUAACUCAUCUUUUAAAAUGUUGUCUUUAAAAUUUCCCUUUGUGGCUUAGUGGGUUAUAAACCCAACUACUAUCCAUGAGGAUGUGGGUUCAAUCCCUGGCCUCACUCAGUGGGUUAAGGAUUGGGCAUUGCCCUUAGCUGUGGUGUAGGUCAUAGAUGUGGCUUGGAUCUGGCGUUGCUGUGGCUGUGGCCUGCAGCUGCAGCUCCAAUUCAACCCCUAGCCUGGGAACUUCCAUAUUCCACAGGUGUGGCCGUAAAAAGCAAAAUUAAAUUAAAUUAAAUUAAGUCUUAUCUUUCAUCCACCGUCUACAUGGAAUUAUUGGAACACUUUUAAGGAUGUAACACUAUUAAGUGAAUAACUAAAUGAAAAGAAACCUAAUACUGUUUCUGAUCCUCAUUUUCCCCAACUGUGAAAUGGAAAAACAGAAGGGUAUUUUCACAAGGUGACUGUGGAGAUGGAAGCAAAAUAGGGAGAGGAGGGUUCCUGGUACACAGGGUCCACUGGGUGUAUGGUAGCCACUCUGGGCAGUGGUGGUGCAACUGUAGCUUCAGCAUCUCCGAUAAUGGGCAUGUGAUUUCCACCUCAGGUUGUCCCAUUUCUAUGUUUUGACUCAAAAACCCCAGUGGGGCAGGACUAUGGAAAAGGAUACAUCUGAAAUUAGAUUUGCCACUACGAUUCCCAAAUCAGAAUCCAUUUUCAUGUAAUGUGUCUCUCUGCCAUGAGCAGUGCAGCUGUGCUGAGGAUUAAAUGAGGAGGACAGAUCUGUCUUCUAAAGGAGGGCGAAUUUCCUGGACUGGUCUGUCAAGAUAUUUGCUUUCCCACCAUUUGUCUGGGUUGGAUCCCAGAUGCCCCUCACACUGGCCUCCUCCCUCACAAUAACCAGAGAUCAUAUUAAGCAUCAACUCAUGGAACUGAGA
rnacentral:lncRNA from 1 species